GGGUUGUAAACUGCUUUUGUACGGAAAAAAACGGUUCGCCUUAAUACGGUGGGCUAAUGACGGUACCGUAAGAAUAAGCACCGGCUAACUACGUGCCAGCAGCCGCGGUAAUACGUAGGGUGCGAGCGUUAAUCGGAAUUACUGGGCGUAAAGCGUGCGCAGGCGGUUAUAUAAGACAGAUGUGAAAUCCCCGGGCUCAACCUGGGACCUGCAUUUGUGACUGUAUAGCUAGAGUACGGUAGAGGGGGAUGGAAUUCCGCGUGUAGCAGUGAAAUGCGUAAAUAUGCGGAGGAACACCGAUGGCGAAGGCAAUCCCCUGGACCUGUACUGACGCUCAUGCACGAAAGCGUGGGGAGCAAACAGGAUUAGAUACCCUGGUAGAA
rnacentral:rRNA from 1 species